UGAUGGGGAGCGAAAUUUAGUAGCGAAGUAGCUGAUUUCACACUGUCAAGAAAAGUCUCUAUCGAGGUUAAAGGUACCCGUACCGCAAACCGACACAGGUGGGUGAGGAGAGUAUCCUAAGGCCAGCGAGAGAACUGUUGUUAAGGAACUCGGCAAAAUGACCCCGUAACUUAGGGAUAAGGGGUGCCACCAUCAGGUGGCCGCAGAGAAUAGGCCCAAGCGACUGUUUACCAAAAACAUAGGUUUCUGCUAAGUCGCAAGACGAUGUAUAGGAGCUGACGCCUGCCCGGUGCUGGAAGGUUAAGGGGAUCUGUUAGAGCAAUCGAAGCAGUGAACUUAAGCCCCAGUAAACGGCGGCCGUAACUAUAACGGUCCUAAGGUAGCGAAAUUCCUUGUCGGGUAAGUUCCGACCCGCACGAAAGGCGUAACGAUUUGGGCACUGUCUCAACAACAGACUCGGUGAAAUUGUAAUUCCGGUGAAGAUGCCGGAUACCUGCGACAGGACGGAAAGACCCCAUGGAGCUUUACUGUAGCUUGACAUUGGGUCUUGGUACUACAUGUACAGGAUAGGUGGGAGGCUUUGAAACCAGGACGCCAGUUUUGGCGGAGCCAUCCUUGGGAUACCACCCUUGUA
rnacentral:rRNA from 1 species